rnacentral:rRNA from 1 species
AGAGUUUGAUCAUGGCUCAGGACGAACGCUGGCGGCGCGCUUAACACAUGCAAGUCGAGCGAGAACCGAGGCUUCGGCCUCGGGGACAGCGGCGAACGGGUGAGUAACACGUGGAUAACCCGCCCUCGGCACCGGGAUAGCCCGGGGAAACCCGGAUUAAUACCGGAUGGCCCUUCCGGCUCUCGAGUCGGUCGGAAAAGGUAGCUUCGGCCUCCGGCCGAGGAUGGGUCCGCGGCGGAUUAGCUUGUUGGUGGGGUAAUGGCCCACCAAGGCUCCGAUCCGUAGCUGGUCUGAGAGGACGAUCAGCCACACUGGGACUGAGACACGGCCCAGACUCCUACGGGAGGCAGCAGUGGGGAAUCUUGCGCAAUGGGCGAAAGCCUGACGCAGCGACGCCGCGUGAGGGAAGAAGGCCUUCGGGUUGUAAACCUCUUUCAGCAGGGACGAAGCUACUCGGGUUAACAGCCCAGAGGGUGACGGUACCUGUAGAAGAAGCCCCGGCUAACUACGUGCCAGCAGCCGCGGUAAUACGUAGGGGGCAAGCGUUGUCCGGAUUUACUGGGCGUAAAGAGCGUGUAGGCGGCCAAGCAGGUCUGUUGUGAAAACUGGAGGCUCAACCUCCAGACGUCGACAGAAACCGCUUGGCUAGAGUCCGGAAGAGGAGAGUGGAAUUCCUGGUGUAGCGGUGAAAUGCGCAGAU